rnacentral:rRNA from 1 species
UACAGGGGGGGCAAGCGUUGUUCGGAAUUACUGGGCGUAAAGGGCUCGUAGGUGGCCAACUAAGUCGGACGUGAAAUCCCUCAGCUUAACUGGGGAACUGCAUCCGAUACUGGAUGGCUUGAGUGUGGGAGAGGGAUGCGGAAUUCCAGGUGUAGCGGUGAAAUGCGUAGAUAUCUGGAGGAACACCGGUGGCGAAGGCGGCUACCUGGACCGGUACUGACGCUGAGGCGCGAAAGCUAGGGUAGCAAACAGG